AUGACCUAUUUCACACUUAGCAAGAUUCCUAAAAAGUGGGGUGAGGUAAAUUACAGAAGAGGCCUCUUGGUGGCAGAAUCUUUGAUGGCCAUUAGCCCAUGGCAUACCCCAUGCUAGGGACACACAAGGUUGUGGUCUGAUCUCACUUGGAGACACAGGCUUUCCUAAGAUAUGACAACACCAUAAGUAGAAGAACUGCUCAGUGCCAUCUCUCCAUUGACAUCCCCUCUCAAAACAUGACUUAAUCAUAGAUAGUCAUGAGAUCGGGGUGGAGAUGCAGUGAACUGGAAGACGGAGAAGCUAUGUGCUGUGACCCAUGCCAUUCCCCCAAUGAAUCUAGUCUAAAUUUACAAAUGGCCACAACCAGCCCCUCUGUGUGCACUGCCAAACUCAGAAAUCUUAUAUUCUCCAAAUGAUGCACCAGAUAGGGGCUAUUCAAAGUCAGAAGUUUAUAAUGCUAUGGAAUGAACUAACGAAAACUCAUUUACUGUUUCUGUCUCCAGUUUGACCAGAAAUUUCUAGAAUCUGCAGAAGAAUUGGACAAGUUAAGAAAUGGUAAGAUGAAGUCUCUAAGUACCUCUGAUGUGGGUAUCUAAUAGAAGGCACACAAGGAAUUUUGAACAGCAGGCAAUGCCCAUGUGUGUGUGGGGUGGUAUUUGGGCAAGGUGGAGAGGGAGAAAGUGGUUAAAAUGGAAGGGAUGUGGCUCCUUGAUCAGGUCUGGCAACUCUCUCCAGGCUAAAAGAACUAGACUUCUCAGAGUAUUUGCUAGAGGAACCAUCCCCAGCGCCCUGAGAAUGCCCUAUCCUUAUUUUCAUGCUUUGGGCACCAUGAAUGAGCUGUGUUGAUCAGCUCAGGAUCCCAUACAGGCCUCCCCAUCCAAGGAUACUCAAGGACAUAGAUUAGAUGAAAGGAGGAGAAAUAGAUGUGACCAUUGUCUUGAGUCUUUGUUCUUUCAUGGGGGGUGUGAAAAGGUAAUAUUGUAGCAGUAUUGCAGGCUUUGAAGAGCACAGAAAGGGACCCUUACAUAAAAACCUCUCAGAACCUGCCUUAAAUGUCACAAAUAUGAGGCUUAUUCUGGGAACUUCUCAUUCUAAAUGGCAUUGUGUUGGCAGUCCUGUUGUAACCUAUCCCAACAUCUUCCUGAAGUAUCCAUGAACAUAAAUGAACACAAAAAAAGACAAGAGUUCUACUAUGUAUCUGGAGGAGAAAUAAAUAACAAAAAUGAAACAACAUGAUAAAAAGUAAAAGGAAGCUGAUUAACAAAAAGAAGGACUACAGGAAGCUUUUUAAAAACGCACUUUCAGGUGAAAUCUUACCAGGCAAUAAUUUCUUUUUCAUGUACAAAUUUAGUCAUUUUCACAACCAUUUUUUUCAUCCUGAAAGAGUGGGAUUCAUAGUCAUUUCACUCUCCUUUUUUUUCCUUCUUUGUAAAGAUGGGAGUUUGAUGUUCCAGCUAGUGUCAAUGGUUGAGAUUGACAGGAUGAAGCUGUGCAGACCAGAGCCAUUCUCAACUACAUUGCCAGCAAAUACAACCUUUAUGGGAAAGACACAAAGGAGAGAGCCCUGUAUGGUAUAGUUUCUAUUCUUCCAUCAACAGAUUUAACACAGGAGUGAUUUAGGUCCUUCCUUGAGUGGGUGGGACAUGGUAGGGGCCUUCAGCAUGUACGCUAGGGUCUAGCAUUGCAGAGACUCAUGGAGAUGAGGGAACAGUGAACAUGGGGUGGGCUCAGGCGAGGGGGAGUCUAGAAGAGGAUCCAGUCCAUGGAUCCAGCACCCUGACAGAGGUUUCCAAACACGGAUGAACCAUGAACUCAGGAGGAUGGGGAAUCAUGAUUCCAGGUGCUCAGGCCUUCAGAGGCUGGACUGGAGCCAACAGCUUAGGACAAGGCAUAGAACGUUUGAGAGUCUGUAGGUGAAGGCCUGGGGAGAAAAGGUUACAAAGGAGCUGAAUCUCAGGUUCCAGUAAAUCCAAGAAUGAUGACCAGGGACCUAAGUUACCAGCCAAUUAUAUGGACUGCAACACCUGAGCAGGGCUAGCAGAGGCUGGCACCAAGGAUGCUGGGGUUAUCUUGACACAUGGUUACAAGGCUGAAACAGCCAGAUUGAUUCAAUACCAGCAAAGCCAAAGGGUUUCCUCACUAUUGUGAUAAAACUACAUGAUUCCAAAUAAAUCCUGAAUGGAACUUUUGGCAGCCCCUCCAAAAUUUUCCUGCAGUAUUACCAAUGACCAAGCAAUUCCUCAACUAGAUAUAUUCCCAAAAGAAUAAAAAAUACAACCACACUAAAUAUUGAAGAUAAAUGUACAAUGCAAAUAACAAUAUUCAUAGUAUUCAAAAAGUGGAAACAAGGCAAAUAUCCAUCAAUCAAUAAAUGGAGGGGCAAAAUGUGCUUUAGCCAUGUGAUGGAACGAUAUUGUCAUGAAACAGAAUGAAGUACUGAUGCAUGCUACAAGAUGGUUAAACCAUAAAGACAUGUUACAUAAAAGAAACAAGACACAGAAAGCCACAUAUUAUAGGAUUCUUUUUGUAUGAAACGUCCAGAAUAUGCAAAUCCAUAGAGGCAGAAAGUAGAUUAGUGUUGCCUGGGGCUAAAGGAGUGGGGCUUGGAGUAAAAUGAAGAAUACUGCUGAUGGUACAGAUGUCCUUAUCGGGGUCAUAAAAAAUAUUCUGGAAUUAGAAUGUGAUGAUUUUUGCAGAGUUCUGUGAAUGUGCUAAAAAGCACUGAAUGUGGCUGUAUGUCAAUAAGCUGUUGUUUUAAAAAGUAUUGUGAAACCUGAGUUUGACACAAAAGAAAAAGUUUGCACUGGUUGUAACUGUAUAAAUAAUUUCACCAAGGAAGGGGAUCUUUUAGGUGGAGUCUCAGGUAAGGCACACGUGGCUAGAGUCGGACAACAGCACAUGGAGAGGGCUGUAGAAUUAUGUUUCAUGGGAGUAACUGGAAAAACUGCUAAUAUUGGGCAUAGAAGUGGGCCUGGGAGAUGUAAAAUGAUGAGACAGAACAAGGAACAUGACUGAGAUGGCUGUGCCAGGGACUCUCUUGGGAUUACUUAGGAGGCAGGACUUUGGCAAUUUGACUCACACUAAGUUCACACACAGAACAAACCACAAUAGAGAUGGUCAGUCCUGGCACAGCACCAGUGGGUACUGGCAGUGAUUCCACAAGUUUCUGUCAUGACUGUGACCACCGAUGCUCUUUUUACCUGUAUUAGGUCAUGUGUGUAACAAAAUUUAGAGAUCUAUCUACCUCAAUAGGUUGUUUUAAAAAAAUAAAUGUUAAUAUACCUGUAAAAAUCAGAGCAUAAUGACUAGACUAUGAAAGGCAAUCAUUGGAGGUAAAUUGCUUUGCCACCACCUGAUGCUCUAUCCUCUUAGAUUUUUAAACUAUAAAAUCUAAGGCAAAAGGCAUUAGAAAGUUUGGUUGUUUUUGUCUUUCAGGAUUGAUAUGUAUAUAGAAGGUAUGGCAGAUUUGAAUGAAAUGAUCCUUCUUCUGCCCAUAUGUCAACCUGAGGAAAAAGAUGUCAAACUUGCCUUGAUCGAAGAGAGAAUGAAAAAUUGCUAUUUCCCUACCUUUGAGAAAGUAAGUGAAGUCAUUCAGCGUUUUGGAACACUGCAUUUUGAGGACAAUAGAAAAACAGUGGCUUGGCAUUCCUGGGGCACUGACAAACAAUUGUACCGCUUACACUCAAGCUAUAAUUUUCCAGCAAAGUUUUGUUUUAUUUUUCUUUAUUUUUUAGGAGAUGAUAUCUUCUUCUGUCUCCCAGGCUUCAGUGCAGUGGAUCACUGCAGCCUGGACCUCCUGGGCUUAUGUGAUCCUCCCACCUUAGCCACCUUCUGAGUAGCUAAGAUUACAGGCAUGACCCACUGUGCCUGUUUAAUUUUUAGAAUUUUUUAAGAGAUGAGGUCUCUCAAUGUUGUCCAGGCUGUUAUCACAAAAUUACAAUUCACUAGACUCCAAUAUAAAUUAUUUAUUUAACAAAAUUUCAUGUUCAUAAUUAGAACAUGGGCUGUGAGAGGCUCUGAGCCACAGUAGAAUUUGGUCUACAGUCUUUAGAACAACACUGGAUUUGAUUUAAAAGGAACAUGAUGAAUGGAAUACAUCAGAAAAUAUUCUGGCACCAUGCGUAGGAAGACAUGAGACCAACUGCCCAUUGUUUUGUUAUUGUGGGGUGUUUGUUACUGUGGGGCGUUUCAGGGGUAAAUAUCCAAAAACGGAGGGUGGCAGUGGGAUGGGGAGGAAGAUACUUUUAUGCAUUUCAAAGUUGCAGACAUCAGUGCAGUCCACCCCUAGACACUUCAACUUGCAGAUUAUAACUGUAGGUUAGGAGUCAGAGCCGACGAUGCAAGAAAGAUGAUGAAUUCAAGUUCACCCAGGUUCACUUCAGAUCUCAGAGAGAGCAGGAAAUGAGGAGAGCAGACAAGAAGAAAUGACUCUGAAAUAGUCUACUCCUGGGGGAGGAGUGCUGUCAUGAAGGUGGAGUCACUGCCCAAGAGAGAUUGGAGAGGGACAGUGCAGAGCGUAGAGCCACGUCCUGAACGUCAGGGCUGCAUGCUGUUGAGCCUGGGGCAAACCGAACAUGCAGCAGCAGGUGCCGGACCCCUGGCCCUUGUGGAAAAUGUAAGCUGGGUGGGUGGUGUGGAUGCCACAGUGAUGUGAAAUAAGAAGAGAAAAUGGGAGCCUGGGGUCCAAGUAAGGAAUGAGCAGAGCCCUCGUUCUCACUCUGUCAUUGAAUCAGGGACCAUAAACAAAGUUCAGGAUCUCUGCUACCUCAGGAAGAGCAUUUUGCCUUUUAUCAUGGAAAGGACCCAGGGCCCAGCAUCUCUCCCCAUCCCUCUAUUCCCCUGUGGUUUCUGUUCCUGAGUUCUCUGUGAUGCCCUUUAUCCCAGAUGUGCCCUUGUCUUCCCACACCAAGUAUGUCUGAGCAGGGCUCUUUCCAUCUGGUUUUCUCCCUGGGCUCCAGCUCCUGCUGUCAGACAUUGCGUUUCUCCCUGCACAGCUCUCACAACACACAGCCCCCAACCUUGUAUCCCUCAGUGGGAAAAAGUAGCCCCAUAAUUUGCCUUUAACAUUUCCUAUCUUCAUUUCUGACUCAAUUUUCCUGUAGUUUCACUUCUGCCUAGAGACUGAUCUGUGCUCAUAUCUCACAGGCACAUUCUUUUUUCUUGUCUUAUACAAAAGCCAUGAAUUUACAGGAUUAAUGUGUAAGGAAGUGUGUAGGGAGACUGAAUUGAAUAGUCUUAAAGACAUCUUUGGGGAAAAUGCUAGCGAGCUACAUGUUCUUCCUCUUAUCUUUGCUUCCGGCUGGGUGUCUGUUUCCCUGCCUCUACACUGGUGUUGAUGGAGGGGACUCAGCUGGUCUUUGUGUAGGAGGGACUCAGAUUUCCUGGGUUGUGUUUAUGAUGGUGUCUGCCCUUGGCUUCACUCUGAGGCUACAUUAUCAUGCAUUGCAGGCCCUGAAAACCAGAAUCAGCAACCUCCCCACAGUGAAGAAGUUUCUGCAGCCUGGCAGCCAGAGGAGGCCUCCCGUAGAUGUGAAAGCUUUAGAAGAAGCAAGGAAGACUUUCAAGGUUUGAAAAAGAAGCCAUCGAGGCCAAGCACAUGCAAGACCAAUUUUCUAAAGUUCUGCAACAAUGAAGUGAUUUACCUAAGUGUUGAUUCUGAUUGUUGUGAGACCAAUAAAGUUUUCCAAAGUAUAUGCU